GCAUUGGACACUAAAUCGACUGAGCCACCCGGGCAUCCCUGGAUACCAAGGCCCCCAGAGGAUUGGAUGGUGCCCACCUGCACUGAUGAGAAUGCUCUUUACUCAGUCUGCUGACUCCUAUGGUAAUCUCUUUUUGGAGACACGCUGACAGACACACCCAGAAAUCGUGUUUUAACAGCUGUCUGGGCAUCUCUCAACUCAGUCAAGUUGACACAUAAAAUUAACCAUUACAGGACUGCAACGUCAGGUAGUGCUAAGUGCUCUGAAGAAAAAAAUGGAUAAAGGAGCUGGGGUGUACGCGAAAAAAAGUAAGAUGUCUUCUAAUAAAAAAUCAAUUGUGCUGUGUUCACCCAAGGAAUACCUUAUGGUGUGAAAACGAACAAACUAUAGCUCUACACACAACGUGGAUAAAACUUUGAAACAUAGUAUUGAGUAAAAGAAGCAAGAAAUGAUGCCAUGAGAAAACAAUCAGACUAAAUCCAGAAUAUGGGAUAUUCUGCAGGUCCAACGAUCCAGCUUUCUAAAAAAACAAACACAAAAACAAAAACAGAACAAAACAGAGCAAAAAAAUGCCAUGAUAACAAGAAAGGAAGAGGGAAAGAAGCAGGGUCUUGAGGAAUAGAAGAGAUACAAGAGUCAUGAUGUUCUGAGUUGUAACAACUAACUACAAAAAGACAUCUUUGAGGCGAAUAGGGAAAUUUGAAUAAGAACUGGGUAUUAGAAGUUAAUAAGAUUGAUUAUUAAUUUUUGUCGAUAGACACAAUAAUGACAUGAUGGUUAUCUUUUCAAAGUUCCUCUCAGACAUGCACACUGAAGUAUGCAUGGGGGAAAAACAAUAUAAUGUCUGGGAACACCCUUGUAAAACAGCAAGAGGAAGUUAGGUAAAACAAGGUUACAAACUUUUGAGAAUUGGUGACAUUGGGUGAAGGAUUGUAAUAAUAUAGUAGAUUGCUUAUGUUAUUGCCUCUACUUUUAUUUUACUUUGAAAAUUUCCAUAAUUCAAGUUUUUAAAAUGAGAAACUUAUUUAAUUUACUUAGAAGCUUCUUCUGGGCUUACAUGUAAAAAUGUAUCUAGAAUUAAGUAGAAGUCACAGGUUUAUGUGUGAUUCUGAAGACCUUUUGUUUUGAGAUUAUUGUAGACUCGUAUGCAGUUGCAAGAAAUAAUUCAGAAAGAUUUCGUAUACUCUCGACCCAAUGGCAUUAUCUUGCAUAACCGUAGCACAAUAUCACAGUCUGGAAGUUGACAUUGAUACAACCAAUUGACCUUAUUCAAUUUCACCAGUUUGGUACGUAUCCAUUUAUGUAUAUAUGGCAUAUAUAUUAAUUUCUAUGCAAUUUUACCAAAGCAUAGAUUUGUGUGACCUCUACCACAGUCAAGAUACAGAACAGUUCUAUCACAGGAUUCUUUUGUACUCCCUUUUAUCACAACAGACACCCCUUUUACUCCUACCACCUCCGACCUCUGGCAGCCACGAAUCUGUUUUCUAGCUCUAUAGUUUUGUCAUUUCAAGACAAAAUAUAUAAAUGGAAUCAUACAGUA